UCAGGUAAAUGAUCUGGAGUGUGUUUGCAUAUUGAUCAGAUGCUUCAGUGCUCUGAGAGUGUUUAUAGUGCUGUGAGUUUAACACUUCAUCACUGACACACACAACAAUCUUCAUCAACAUGACCUUCAUCAUCAUCUGGACGCUCUUAUACUGCUUUAUACUACAAGGCUGUAGAGCUCAGAUCACAGUGACUCAGACUGCAGUGAAAACUGGAACACCAGGAGAAAAUGUUGUGAUGAGCUGUAAACUCAGUACUGAUACACCUUGCAGCCCAAAUCCCUGUGUGGCCUGGUACUUACAGAAACCUGGAGAAGCUCCUAAACUCCUGAUUUAUUGGACCAAAAGCCUCCAGUCAGGAACUCCAUCUAGAUUCAGUGGCAGUGGAUCUAACAGUGAUUUCUCUCUGACCAUCAGUGGAGUCCAGACUGAAGAUGCUGGACAUUAUUACUGUCAGAGUUUCCAUUGCACAACAAAUUCUGGUGGCUCUUGUGUGGGUGACUAUGUGUUCACACAGUGAUAAAGAGUCGUACAAAAACCUCCGUCAGUCAGAGUCACAGUGACUGAACUGAUACUGCAGCUGCUCACACACUUUCACACACUUUCACACACACUCAACAGUAAAGAUUUUCUUAAAUAUUAAAUGAAAUAUAAAGCAUUCAUUAAGU